CCUAACACAUGCAAGUCGAACGGUAACAGGAAGAAGCUUGCUUCUUUGCUGACGAGUGGCGGACGGGUGAGUAAUGUCUGGGAAACUGCCUGAUGGAGGGGGAUAACUACUGGAAACGGUAGCUAAUACCGCAUAACGUCGCAAAACCAAAGAGGGGGUCCUUCGGGCCUCUUGCCAUCAGAUGUGCCCAGAUGGGAUUAGCUAGUAGGUGGGGUAACGGCUCACCUAGGCGACGAUCCCUAGCUGGUCUGAGAGGAUGACCAGCCACACUGGAACUGAGACACGGUCCAGACUCCUACGGGAGGCAGCAGUGGGGAAUAUUGCACAAUGGGCGCAAGCCUGAUGCAGCCAUGCCGCGUGUAUGAAGAAGGCCUUCGGGUUGU
rnacentral:rRNA from 1 species